UUGGCCGGGCCCCCGCGCGCCCCACCCACCUCGGCGGCCCGGCCUUCGAGCAGCUGGAGCAUUUCAUUAGCAGAUCUGCAUGCCCAUCACAAGGGCUCCACCCCCUGGUUCGCGGGGCGUUUUUCCCUCCGCGGAACGCAGCACAAGGUUUACCCUUCUCAAAAAAAACUGGGAGCCGCUGAGGAGGAUCCCGCCCAUUCUUCUGAUUGGCUGAGAAAGGGAAGCGAUGGGCGGGAGGAGUAAGGAGUGUUUAUAGUGAACUGGAAGGUGAUUGCCGAAACUGGCUGUCGAUCAAAGGCGCCGCCGGUGCCAGACCGGGUUUCUGGCUCCUGGCGCGGGCAGCAGAGCUAGGGUCUCACGUUGCGGCAGCUUUGGGCCGGGACUGCUGUGGUUAUCUCUCCUGUUCUCUCUUAUCCUCGCCUAGAACCUGGGCGCGCCUACUCCGCCACCACUAACAACCAGGUGGUUCACAGACCUCUGGCGCAGAAAAAGGCGAAGAAUGAAAUAUUGGAGAAAUCCUAAUAUUUGAAAAGUAAGCUGGAUAAAGUGAAAAAUAGACUGAGAAUAAAUAGAGAAGUAGGAGCGCCCAGCAAGCAAUGUCCAAAUAGUUGUGGGAAAGAGAAGGAAGCUAACCCAUGACAACAAAAUACACUGCUGACAUCGGACAGCAAGGGUCUCACUAUAUACUGCAGACCAUCUCCAAACUUGAAGUAAGAUGGGAGAAUUUUAUUAAUCAACCAAAGAAAACACAAUGGCUCUUGAUUUGAUCUUUCCAAAGUUCGUCAACAAUGGCAAACAUCUAGGACCAUAUGAAUAUUUGCCAUCAGUGCACCUGCCUCCUCUCCCUGGCAUUUUCCUAUUAGCUGAGAUCAACUGGGAAAUU